GACGAACGCUGGCGGCGUGCCUAAUACAUGCAAGUCGAGCGGACGAUUCGAAAGCUUGCUUUUGAAUCGUUAGCGGCGGACGGGUGAGUAACACGUGGGCAACCUGCCCUGUAGACGGGGAUAACACCGAGAAAUCGGUGCUAAUACCGGAUAACACGAAAUGUCGCAUGACGUUUCGUUGAAAGGCGGCGCAAGCUGCCGCUACAGGAUGGGCCCGCGGCGCAUUAGCUAGUUGGUGAGGUAACGGCUCACCAAGGCGACGAUGCGUAGCCGACCUGAGAGGGUGAUCGGCCACACUGGGACUGAGACACGGCCCAGACUCCUACGGGAGGCAGCAGUAGGGAAUCUUCCGCAAUGGACGAAAGUCUGACGGAGCAACGCCGCGUGAGCGAAGAAGGCCUUCGGGUCGUAAAGCUCUGUUGUUAGGGAAGAACAAGUAACGUAGUAACUGACGUUACUAUGACGGUACCUAACGAGAAAGCCACGGCUAACUACGU
rnacentral:rRNA from 1 species